GAGUCCAUCAAGGCGCGUUCCUCAGUACAGUACUCCAGCAGGGCUUAUAUAGACAAACCAAACCCAGCCAAAUCAAACCUCCCCAAAUCCAACAUUUCCUGCAUGUCCAAAAUGGGAGACAGGCGCCUGAGUAACCCGGGGCAAGCCGGCGCCUCGGUUCCUGCCCAGCUGGAUUUGGGGGGCAGCAUUGCCUGGCGCAGGGAGAUCAAAUGAGACUGCAAAGAAGCAUAAAAUGAAUAGACAAUCCAACCAACCAAAGACCGGGGGCAGCAGCAGGCCAGCAAGACGGCAUCUUCUCCUUCCCAGCCUAGAAGCCCUGUGAAAUCGAGGAUCUUCCCCCUAAAACACAUACACACAAGAUAUGUGCAAUCAAGCUGCCACCGCUUGGUAAAAAGCCAUGGUGCCUAACCAAAAAGGAUCAGGAACAGAUCCUUGAAUCAGCUGUCACUUCUAUAGAAUGGGAUUUUUUUUUCCUUCCUCCUUAACCUGCGCUGGAAAUUGCCGUUGGCUUUAUACAUCUCUAUAGAGAGAGGCUAAAGAGUCUUGCGUGAGAAAGAAGCAAUUUACAAUGCAAAUAGAGGCCUGUGAAGGGACGGAUGCUGCUGCUCACUCGUAACAGCUUGCUGCACCUUAAUAGCUGGUUUUAUUUUCUGAUAUUAAUAGAUGAAUUGUUGGCUAACGCUGCCGGAGAUUACUUGCUGAAAGGAAAAAGAAAAGUUCGGAAUAAACUCUGAAGGCAACAGAUCUCGUUUGGAUGUUUUAGCCGCGCACACACACAAACAGAAACCAGGUCAUAUUUACAUAAAAGGAGGAAUCUUAAGCGCGGCAAGUAUCCUGGACGACCACUCUUCGGUACUGCCAGAAAGGAUCAGGACCUGGAGUCUGGCAAGAGGAAGACAGAGGCCUGUGUGGGAAGCGAGUUGUUAUCUUUGGUUAUCUAGCUGUAUGAGUGUAUUGGUCUUCAUAAAGCUAGAUAACCGAAAGUAAAAACUCCUUCAAGAUCGCCGGGGAGCGUGUGAGAAUGAAAGACUACAGCCGAGAGACAGUAAAAACCAGAAAGGUCAGGAAUACUUAUUGAAUCUAACUUUGUUUUUGUUUUGUUUUUUUCCUUAUGAUUAAAGGUGGGAUGAGAGAAAAUUAAAUGACACACACAUGCUAAAAUAUCAAGGUUCCAGAUAUGUCUUGAGAGGGGUUGUUGCAGCUGCAAAGGAGAAGUGUAUAGUGAUAAUGAGUAAAGAUGCAUGUGCAGUUUGUUCUAUUUUAAGGCAAAAGUUAUAUCAGGGAUUUUUUUCUUAGAAAGGUGUUGCAGAGAUGUCUGGUACCUAGUUUAAAAAUGAUUCCAUAAUAUGUAGACUUGGGCAGUUCCUUUGGGAGGCACCUCCCUCUCAAAAUUUGAAGAUUGUGCUUGGAAAUUACUUUACAUGUAUUUGGGCUGUAUGUCAAUUUGUACGAAAUUAGACUUUCAGAAAAGUUUAUACUGGAAGGUUAAUAAUUUGUAUCUACUGAGGACUUAGAGCUAGCAGGCAAAAUGAAAAAAAAAAAAAAAAAAGCAAGGGCUGAUUUUUAUUCUUCUAUUCAAAAUACAAGGACAGAUGCUUCUCUGUUCCAAGAGGGUUUCCUUGAGGAAGCUACUGAAGCAGAAAGACAUGAUGGAGACGAGAUCGCCUCCCCUCUUGUCAAAGUGUUAAAAAAAUGUUCUGUCUUACUCUGCGCCUAGCAUUGGAAAUGAAAGUGACAUUUACGCCACAACCCACGUGUGCGCCUCCUCUCUUUUUGUUUAAGGAUGAUCAGGUCUAUCCAGGAAACAGCUCUGGCAUCCCAAACUGAAAUAAUUAGGACGUAUAUAGACCUGACAAAAAUGGAAAGGGGGUGGGGAAUCUGAGGGUCUGUCUUGCCUAAUUGAUUCCGCUAAACGGAAUGCAGGAGAUGUGAACGGCAGGACGCUCCGAUUCCCACGCUCGGGGGCAAGUGAUAAAGCGGGGCCGGGCAGCCUAUGACAGACAGCCCUGUUGGGGGGUGGGGGUAUGAAAAAAACAUCAAGUGCACACACCAUACUCAUCUCCAUCGCUUAAGAAAGUAAAGGCAUUUCCCACCCACAGCCAUCUGCAGCUUCCCAAAUGGCAGCACCAACUGGUCUGUAGCUGCUACAUAGUCUGCUUCUGUUAAUUUUUUAACCACUGUUUAAUCUGGCCAUAAUUAAGUUUGGCUUUCUUCGUUGUUUGAGAUUUUCAGAAUUCAAGGCAAGCUAGUAGAAAGCAAUUCCAAGAAAGUCCCAUGACUGCCUGCCCCUAAUGUCAAAAUCUCAGUCCAUGAGAUUAUGGCCUUGUGACCACAUUUUUGCUUUUGUUUUGGGUGGGCAAAUGUGUAUAGAGAUAAAAUACAUAUCUCUAUAUAACAGUCGUUAUUAUAAUUUCAUGAGGCUUUUUACCUCUUAACAUGAUACAUCUAGGAACUUGGUCUAAUUGUGCUAGUAGAUAUACACUAGAAGUAAAACUAUAAAGUCAUUAGCCUGUAGAAAGUUGAUUAUGAUAACAAUAUGAUAAAAAGUUUGUUUUGGAAUAGUCUCAGCUAGAUGGGUCUAAAUAGCCAUUUUAAUGUAAUCUAAAAAUAACACUAUGCCUAGCAGAAACUUUGGCGCUUUGGAGGUCCCCAUUGUCGCCUUUUCAUAAAAGUCCUUAAGUUUUCCAUAUGUCACCAAGCAAACAUUUGUAUAGGCAUUUACACAGAAAUAUAACCAUUGCAAUUAGAAAAUAUCCAAAAUAGCCUGUUAUCUUCCACGUGGCCUAGAUUAUUGACAAUCCCAAAUAUACAAUUUUUCUUUAAAAGUAGUACAAUUUCCUUUGUAGCUUCAAUUCCUUAUAUGACUUCAGACUGGAGAAGCCUGUUAAACCACUGUUAGUUUCAGUUAGAAAGUCUGAGAGACUUUAUACAUAAAUUCUCAAUUUGGCUGCUGUACACGUGCCAGAGUUUUACUACUGUAGUGACCGUUGAGAAGACCCUUGUUUAUUUACAUUUGAAGCACUGUUUGUGCAAACAACCUUUCAUUGUUAAGUGCCUGUAUUCCUUUCAUUUACUUCAUGUCCAGGGGUGCUAUUUACCUAGAACCAUUGUCUACUACAAUUAACAUUUACAUUACAAAGUGUGUGGUUUUCUUUUUCAAGGAGGUUCAAUUAAGGCAAUAAGAUGUUUGCUGGAGAAACCUAUUGUUUACUGAAAGCACUCAAUGAAGUCAAAUUACUGAAGCUUUUGCCUACAUCUUGGUCUUUUAUGUAAAUAUGUUAAAUAUAACAUCUAAGGAAAAUAAACAAUAUUAUAAUUAUGUGUUUGCCAUUGUCAUAUCAAACUUGCUUUGUAUCAUACUAAUGUUACAU
ensembl:lncRNA MIR9-2HG MIR9-2 host gene